rnacentral:rRNA from 1 species
UGGGGAAUAUUGGACAAUGGGCGAAAGCCUGAUCCAGCCAUGCCGCGUGUGUGAAGAAGGUCUUCGGAUUGUAAAGCACUUUAAGUUGGGAGGAAGGGCAGUAAGCGAAUACCUUGCUGUUUUGACGUUACCGACAGAAUAAGCACCGGCUAACUCUGUGCCAGCAGCCGCGGUAAUACAGAGGGUGCAAGCGUUAAUCGGAAUUACUGGGCGUAAAGCGCGCGUAGGUGGUUCGUUAAGUUGAAUGUGAAAGCCCCGGGCUCAACCUGGGAACUGCAUCCAAAACUGGCGAGCUAGAGUAGGGCAGAGGGUGGUGGAAUUUCCUGUGUAGCGGUGAAAUGCGUAGAUAUAGGAAGGAACACCAGUGGCGAAGGCGACCACCUGGGCUCAUACUGACACUGGGUGCGAAAGCGUGGGGAGCAAACAGG